UCGAAACCUGCCCAGCAGAGCGACCCGUGAACAUGUUCAACCUCAUGGGUGCUGGGGCGUUGCUCGGUGCCUCGUGUGCCGGCUCGCCCCUCUCCCAGGCAGGGGAGCGUCCACUUGUGGGCUGUUCCCCGGCUAACCAACGAACCCCGGCGCGUAAAUGCGCCAAGGAAUAUAAACUUUAUGUGUGUGCUCUCCUAUUGUCCGGUUAGCCGGGCGUUGGAGUGGUGCCAUGUCUUAACAAUAAACGACUCUCGGCAACGGAUAUCUUGGCUCUCGCAUCGAUGAAGAACGUAGCGAAAUGCGAUACUUGGUGUGAAUUGCAGAAUCCCGUGAACCAUCGAGUUUUUGAACGCAAGUUGCGCCCGAAGCCUCUGGCUGAGGGCACGUCUGCCUGGGCGUCACGCAUCGGGUCUCCCCCAAAAUCCACCCUUGGUGGAGGGGAAGGAGGAUGGUCUCCCGUGACUCACCGGUUGCGGCUGGCCUAAAAUUGGAGCCCUCGGCAUCGGGAUGCCGCGGCGAUAGGUGGUGACAAGGCCUCGGCCAAGCAACAACCCGUCGCGCAUGCCGUGCCAAUGCUGGCUCGCAGGACCCUUUGUCGUUGCCUUUAAGGCAACCAAACCGUUGCGACCCCAGGUCAGGCGGGGACUACCC
rnacentral:rRNA from 1 species